GCAGCCACAAGCUUCAUAGCCUCAGUGAUUUUCUGGGUGUUCUUGACAGAAUCAAUACGUUCUCGAAGCUCACGAAGUCCACACUGAAUUGGGGUGACUGAUGAUUUCUGUUGGGUAGAAAACGCGUGGGUCGAGUUUGGUUGACAAAUAAUGGAAUUGAGAAAAUACGGCUAAAAAUGGACACAGGUAUUUACGUGGUUCACCCAAUUUAGGCUACGUCCAUGGGCAAGUAUGAGAGGAUUCACUAUAGUAGGAGAAUUAUAACAAUCUCUCUAAAUACAAGGAGAUAACAACGAAUAAUCUCUCUUGUAAUAGGAGAAAACAAGUAGCAAAAAAAAAACUUAGGAGAAAAACAAUAAAUUUUCUCUCUUCUCUUAUCUCUACCUCACAAUUUUCUCUCUUAAUUUUUCCUCUCCAUAUGACACACCCUUUUCUCUCAAACUCUUACCCAUAUUUAUAGAGAAUUUUAACCUCCAUAAUUGCUUGGAAGAGUCAAAGUUCUACCACCUUCAUUUGCUAAAAUUGUCUACACAUUUGGCUUGUCAAGUAAAUGGAGAAAGAAAACUUGAAUUUCUCAACCUCCCUUGUAUGCAUGCAUGGAGUCUUUCUUACCAAUUAAGAUAUCAACAACCUUAUCAAUUUAGUCAAAAAAUGUGGCUAACAUUAGUUGGAAACUCCAAUUUUGCCACCACCACCACUAGCAUGCAUGUAUCUUUCUUGCUUGGCAAUUAAGAAAAUGGCUUAUCCUUUUAUGAUCAAUAAAAGUGUCUUUACUAUUCAACAAUUUCUAAGGGCUGGAGGCGUUAGAAUUAUGGGCAGGAAGCGGAAAAGGGCUGAGGAAAGAGCGAGAUGAGAGAGAAGAGGUAUCAGAGAGAAAAGGUUGUGAGGACACCAACAUUGUCGGAUUUGAACAAGACAUGGUAUCUGCACCUUUUUUGGAGCUCUGCAAAAAUGUGGCUAUGGACGAGUGGAGAAGAAGAAAAAGUGGGUUUGUUUCAGAAGCUUUUGAGUUGAAUCUUAUCUCUAUAAUGUAUGGAUGUUGGGUUUUGUGGGUGAAUUGUGUUGGUGAUGAAGAGAGCAAAAAAAAUGAGAGCUAGAGGGAGUGAAGGAUAUAGGAUUUUUGGAUGAGGUUUUAAGAUAAGAAUUUGAAUGUUGGAGAUUGCAUUGUGGAAGAACUAUAAAUUGGAAAGAUAUUCUGAAC
rnacentral:lncRNA from 1 species